GGUGACCUGCGGAAGGAUCAUUAUUGAAUUU
rnacentral:rRNA from 1 species